ensembl:lncRNA
UAUAAACCCCUCUUCCCAGGCCCUGCGAUCUGUGGCAUAUAAACGGACCAUACUUUGUUGGAGGAACUACUAAACGCAAUGGUAUUCCCUAAAGCUCGGCUGCCAAAUAGGCUUUUAGUACCACUCAGCUGCUUAUCAUUGCUAACUGUGUCAUUGAGAGACCAACUCUUGGGGCAAGGGGUGGCUCAGUGGUUUAAGCGACUGAUAAGAAGGUUAAGAGUCACUAAACCAAUAGGAAAGAAAGAACAUGCUGAAUCCAUCGAGGACAUAAACUGUUCUCAGUUAAUCAAACAUGAAAGAAGGUGCCUAGGACUUGCAAGAUAAUGAACAAGAUAUUACCAAACCAUAAAUUUGCACCAAGAAGGUGCAAAUGUGAUUAUUACUAUCACAUCAUCAAUAUUUGGUUCAAACCACAUGAAACUGUCACUCUUAUGACAGCAAGCCACAUCCCACCUUAUGCAAUGAGGAGCCCGAGUUUUUCUGAGCAAUCCAGGUGCUGUCCUCGGUGCUGAACUUCAGCUGCAAGACAAGUUUCAGCCCCACUGUUUUGGACUGUGGGAAGCGGCUAGUGGAAUAUAAUCGCUUCCAGCUGCAGCUGCUCACUUCAUCCCUAGAGUGGCUACAAAAGCUCCGCUCCAACUGUAGCAAGGUGGGUGGAAUAUCAGACAAGUACUCUGGCCCUUUUCUUCCCUCGCCCACCAAAGUAGUGGACUCUGAGGACGGCCCUGCAGCUGGUGUCUUUGCAUGCCAAGUAAAGACUCGCGUAAAUAUACUACAGAUCGCUAAUACAACUCAUAUGCAAGCAUAUCUAGUAUAAUCCUCGUGUACAAACGGAGACUCCUUUCAAAAAUGCUCCGUGAAGGUCGCCUCACAGAAAAGUCCACCGUAUCAAUAACUACACAUUCGUUAAUCCAUUCUUUAAAACGUGGAGUGCCCGCCAAACAAGUCUCAAGUUGUUACUAUGGAAACAAUAAUGUACUAGCAUGAAUAUAUUGCUAUAAACCUAUUAUUUCCAGCUGCAUUACUAUCAGUGCUGCUGUUAUGCCAUGUUAAUUCGAUGUUUGGACGUAUCCACUUUUAUUCUUAGGCACAAUUAAGCCCUGUACUUUAUUUUCAGAGCCACCUCAUUAAAUGAAAUAAAAACCAAAACACGUCACACACUGUUGGUUAAUACGAAGGCAACACAUUUGCACGAAAUGAGAUGUCGGUUUAAAGGACUCCCUGAUGUUCUUUUGCUUAUUAUGCAUUGGCUGGUUGAGCUGUGACCUGGCCACAGAGGCCAAUGGGAAUCUCAUGCAAAUGGACUUGACCUGUUGCCCCCAUGAGACACAUCGCUGCCUCUAUAAAUUAAUACCAUACAAUUGAACAAGUCUGUCUGUCUGGGUUCAGAAAGGGCACUGACUGGUGUCUCUUCACCUCAUGCAGUGCUCACUAAGGGUCAGCACUUUUGCUUCCCCGCCAGAAUGACCAACCAGAGAUGUCAUGUCAACUGAGGAGGAGCUUGUGGGAAAAGUACCAUAUGAAUAUUCAUUUAAAAAAAAAAAAAAAAAAAGACAGAGCAUAGCAAGUCAAAAGAGGCACACCCUGGCCUCUAUCGAGGUAGCUGCUAUAAUGUAAGUGAUAACAGGAAGGAGGUAACUUGUAUUGCAGACUUGUCUCGUCGUUCGUUAUUUUCCUUCAACAGCACGCCCCUGAGUGCUUUAUAAAGGCAUUGGUAGCUCAGUUGUACUACUGAUCGGGAAGGUGGCGAGUUCAAAUCCUAGCACUGCCAAGCUGCCACUGCUGGGCCCUUGAGCAUGGCCCCUAACCCUCAACUGCUCAGUUGCAUAAAUGAGAUAAACGUAAGUCGCUCUGGAUGAUGUUUGUUCCUUACCCAAGACUUGUCCCUUUUUUCCGUAUCGUCGCUACAAUCUUCUGAAACAUAACAAGACUCGCCCUCAGAAGACCGGCAAGACGGAGAUCACUUUCACACAUCUGCAGA